AAGCAAUGUUUGAUCUACUACUGGUGAAAGUUCUUCCAGCAGCGAAAACAUGUUAUAUUCAGAACACUUAACACGCUUAGCCCUUUUUUUGGCACACGAGCUGGAGAUCCCGGGGCUGCGAGAUAAUAAAUUGAAAUGGUGAUUUGUCAGGAAUUAAGAAGUCAUGAAGGUUGCUGUGAAAACUGAAGAGGCUGGACCUUCUGAAGAGAAUACAAUAGAAACUGUUGACAGCAAAACUGGGCUCAGUACUAUUUUUAAGAAUCCAGAUUUUAAGCACUCUGGGAAGACUGCAAACAAGAAACGGGCUUGGCGUCCUCUGAAGCAGCUUAUUAGCAUUGAAAAAAGCCUGCCUUAUCCAGAACAGGCUGUUACGUACUGGAGCAUUGAGGCUCCACCAUCAUUUCUUCCUCCGAAGAAGUAUUCGGACAUCUCAGGCCUACCGGCAAAGUACACAGACCCCCACACAAAGCUACGGUACGCCAGUGCAGAGGAGUACAAAAUCAUCCAAAGCCUACCGGGCGACAUCGUAGCCGGCUACCUGGCUCUGCGCAAGGCGUUCAACCCCGUCGGUUGACAUGGCUCGCGUCUUCGUGACGGUGGGGACAACGGAGUUCGACAAACUCGUGCGAACAGUGACAUCUACCGACGUGUUGCGCACUCUCAGUUCGCGCGGCUAUCGCGAGAUGGUGCUGCAGAUCGGUGCUGGGAAGACUGAGCCUCCCACAGGUACUGUGGAGGGAGUCGCGGUCCGCUGGUUUCGCUCCAAGCCGAGCAUUGCGGAGGACAUGGCGGCCGCUGACCUUGUGAUCGGUCACGCGGGGGCGGGGACGUGUCUGGAGGCGCUGCGGGCCGGCCGAGCGCUGGUGGUGGUCACCAACACGACCCUCAUGGACAACCACCAGGCCGAGCUGGCUGGCCGGCUGGCCGCCGACGGACACCUGCUGCACUGCGUCUGUGAGACGCUCAGAGACACACUGGCCGGGAUGGAGCUGUCUCAGCUGCGGCCGCUGCCGCCGGCCGACCCGACACCGUUCGCCGAGCACCUGGAACGGAGACUGGGGCUGAGGUGAUGAUGAGACGGACUCGAGUGGUAACGGUAAGGGAGGGUGGUUUCAGGGAACUCAGCUCUACCUAAGCUGCUUUUUGCCAUGAGAGACUCGCCUGCCAUGAGGCGAAAGUGAGGACUACUGCGAACUGCUUAUGGAGCAGUGUUACUCGUUCUGGAACCCCUCUGAGACAAAGUGACGGUCGCGCCGGGUGGGCUCAGUCACCCUCCACCUGCGUCCGCCGCCGCCGACCGCCGGCACGCAGGGCGUCACGCUCGACACAAUCAAUAAACAGGUGCGCGUGUCGCGUGUUUUGUGCCGUCAGCGCGGCCGUCCGGCGGCGGCGGACGGCGCGGGGCCGGUGUCGGUGUCGGCGCCCGUCCGGGGGUGGUCUCGACGUGUUUAUCCAGGCGUGGCUCGGUCGCGGGCUGUGGGACGGACGCGCACCAGGCGCCGCCUGCCACCCGCCGCGCCGCGGCGGCUCGCGUGCCGGCGCCGAUCCGGCCGCGCUCCGUGUGCUGCUCUGUGAGCUGCCGCCGUCCGAGACGGGGUCAUGAUGGGGCCGGGGCGGGCCGCUGCCGCUGGUGACCGCCCGCUGGGUGCCGCGGCGGCUGGCACGGCCGCCGGCGCGGUGAUGGGUGGGGCAGAGAGUGCCGUGACGGACAGCCGACUGGCCGUGAUGUACGGGCGUCACGCGGCCGACCCGUGACGUGACGGAGUGGCCCCGGAGAGACGGGAGGGGCUCUGUGGAGGGUGAAGCCGUCUGUGAUGAAUUAGAGAGGACUCCUCUGUGUGUCGGGUGAUCUCUGUUUAUGGCGUGUGGUGCAUUUUCCACGCGGGUUUGUGAUGCGUGGGGUAUCGUAUUAGAAAAGCGUUGAAGGCUCAGCUCUAUCGAGAUCCAUUGCCAUUCUCUGCUUGCCCGGUUCAUUGAUCCUUUCUUUCUUUCUCAAAGGCGUCUCCCGACAUAUUACCACAAGUCUCCAGUUCCACUCUAACCUGACCGGUCCAACUGUCGGUGUCAGAACGUCCGUUGACAUGUUUUUGGUAACACCGCUUUAUUUUAGUAACACCGCUUUCCUAGCUGUAUUGGCUGACGAAUGGUGAUUGAUACACUGUGACUCGUUUCUGAAGAGGCUGUCUGUGUUUGCGGGCGUUGGCCCUCACACCAGCUUCAGGACGGUAUUCUUGGCUGACCUCCCCUGACGCCUAAAGAAGGCCAGUUUUUGUGAGCUGUUGGGCUUGUCAGGAGUCAUGUUUUGUGCAUGUCUUGAUGUAAACAAUAUAAGUCUGAACAAGGGAUCCA